rnacentral:tRNA from 1 species
GAGCGAGUGGCGAAACGGCAGACGCAGCGGGUUUAAGCCCCGCCGCUUCGGCGUGUGGGUUCGAAUCCCACCUCGCUUACCA